rnacentral:lncRNA from 1 species
ACAUCCAAGCCAUCUGAGGUUUAAAUGCAGCCUGUGGGGGCCCACGUGUGCCGGAAUGGAUCUGAUCCGUGACCAGGUGGACCUACCUGAGAUGAAGGUGGGCGACUACCUGUGUGUCCGUAACAUGGGUUACUACACCACCAGCUUGUACAGCGGCUUCAAUGGCAUGCCCAUGCCUGAGGUCUUCCUUUACUGUGCUGAAGACAUCUGGCUGCGCGUGUUUCCCGAGAAGAAGAGACCCCAUCCCACAGGUUCUCUGUGUCUGCUGACUUAAUUUACAAUCUGGAUUCAUAGACAGAUGACCACUGUGAACGCACACGGCAAAAUUAUCCAUACAAACUUUUUCUUAAAAACCAGUUUCUAGAUAUGAAAUGAUUUUAUUAAUUGUUUUAAACAAAUAAACUGUUUGGCUAAGCUUGCAUUGUAAAUGUUUGCCUCGAUCAUCGUUUUCGAUGUUUUUAGAGACCUUAUACUUGUUGGGACACAACUCCUUAUUUUGUUUCGUAUCUGUAAUUUGAUAAUAAAAAAGGGGGGAAACAUUGUUGUAUUUAUUAUAUUUUACUUGUCUUUCAUUUUCAUGAUACCCAAAUCUACCCAAUCUACGCAAAAUAUGUAAAACUUUGUAAUACAAUUGUUGUUAAUAUUAAUGUUUAAAUGAAGCUUUUGUUUGGGUGGAGUGAAUAACUACCUCUAUAUUUUGUUAAGGAACCGUAAAUUUUCUUUACAGGCUUUGUGUGUGUGGCACGGGGAAAAAAAUAAGAUUUAAUAUAUUUCACUAUAGGAACAUGGUAAAAGAGUUUCUUUGUAGGAGUCACUCCGUUGUGAAUUCAAAUAUAUUGUUUUUAUUUUGUAUUGUUUUUUAUGAUGUACUUUUAUUUUGUCUCAUUUUAUUUGUUCCCUUUUGUAUUGUAAGGCUUUUGUACUUUGUUCUCCAGUUUUUGCUUUUCAUUGUCUUGAUAUUGUAGUUGGUAUUAUAUUUUUAUUAAUUAUUUAUAUUUUUAUAUUUGUAUUAUAUUUCAUUAUGUAUUUUGAGAACUCUCUUCAGGAGGUAUGUGCUUUUAAGUUUUUACCUGUUUUUGAAAUUACAUUUGUUCACAUAAAAAGCUGUUUUCCUUUGCUAAACGAAGUUGAUAAAAAUCAGCUACAAUACUGCUAAAAUAGACUGUUCUAUAAAGUAAUAAAUGCAUAAUGGACGGAAACACAACACAAAAUAUUAGAUAGAAACAGAAGAAAAGAUGAAAAAUGAGUAGGAAUAAAUGAAACGAAAGACAUUCUAAAUCUCAGACAACAUCUUUAUAUAUCUAUGGACACUUAAGGAAGAAGAUUCCUAAGUAGUAAUCAACAGUUUGAACAAAAUGUUAGUAAAAAUACUCAAUAUUUGUACUUAGCAAUAUAAAAAAAUGAUAGCGCUUUAAAAUAGAUACUUGGGUAUUACAAAUUUCUCCAAAGUCGGCUUUAAUAAGAAAUUUUCAAACAACUAUUACAUACAGUUAUCUUUUUUUAAAUGUUUGCUGUAUUGUAGAUUGUUUGCUUUGCUUUUAGUCAAACUACGCAUGCGCAGUCUCAUCCAUGUUGGAAGAUUCCUGUUAUGUUUGUCAUUUAAGGGACUUCUCUUCGUAACUGAUUCAGGAAAUGGAAGUUUGUCUUUUGGAUUCAGUUUUCCUAUUCAGGUUAAAUCAAUUUUACCCAAUAGUCAUCAAUUUCGUUUCUAAAUAAAUUUUUCUGUUUAAAGUUUGAAAGAAAAAAA